rnacentral:rRNA from 1 species
UACGGAGGGCGCGAGCGUUAAUCGGAAUUACUGGGCGUAGAGCGCGCGUAGGCUGUUGUGUAAGUUGGGGGUGAAAUCCCACGGCUCAACCGUGGAACAGCCCUUGAUACUGCGCGACUUGAAUCCGGGAGAGGGUGGCGGAAUUCCAGGUGUAGGAGUGAAAUCCGUAGAUAUCUGGAGGAACAUCAGUGGCGAAGGCGGCCACCUGGACCGGUAUUGACGCUGAGGCGCGAAAGCGUGGGGAGCAAACAGG